GCGGUGGAGUAUGUGGUUUAAUCGAUGCAACGCGAAGAACCUUACCUGGUCUUGACAUCCCGGAGACCCUUAGGAAACGUAGGGGGUGCUUCCAUCUGGAAGAAUCUGGAGACAGGUGCUGCAUGGCUGUCGUCAGCUCGUGUCGUGAGAUGUUGGGUUAAGUCCCGCAACGAGCGCAACCCUUGCCUUUAGUUGCCAGCAGUUCGGCUGGGCACUCUAAAGGGACUGCCGGUGUUAAACCGGAGGAAGGUGGGGAUGACGUCAAGUCCUCAUGGCCUUUAUGACCAGGGCUACACACGUACUACAAUGGCCGAUACAAAGGGCAGCGACACUGCGAGGUGAAGCCAAUCCCGUAAAAUCGGUCUCAGUCCGGAUUGGAGUCUGCAACUCGACUCCAUGAAGUUGGAAUCGCUAGUAAUCGUGGAUCAGCAUGCCACGGUGAAUACGUUCCCGGGCCUU
rnacentral:rRNA from 1 species